AACGAACGCUGGCGGCAUGCCUAACACAUGCAAGUCGAACGGGACCUUCGGGCUUAGUGGCGCAUGGGUGCGUAAAGCGGGGGAACCUGCCCUUAGGUCCGGAAUAACUCCCCGAAAGGGGUGCUAAUACCGGAGAAUGUCCUCGGACCAAAGAUAUGUCGCGUUUGGAUGGGCCCGCGAUGGAUUAGCCGGUUGGUAGGGUAAAAGCCUAUCAAGGCGUCGUUAGAUAGCUGGUUUGAGAGGAUGAUCCGCCACACUGGGACUGAGACACGGCCCAGAAUCCUACGCGAGGGGGGAGAGGGUGAUACAGGAAGAUGGCGGGAGGGCUGAACCAGCUCUGCCGGGUAAGUGAUGAAGGCGGUAGGGUAGUGCAGCACUUUUACACGGGGUGAUAAUGACGGUACCGGGAGAAUAAGCACCGGCUAACUCCGUG
rnacentral:rRNA from 1 species